rnacentral:lncRNA from 10 species
AGAGGAAGUUGGAGGCAUGUGAGGUGCAGGAAGGAUUCUAAGCAGUGGUGCUGGCUUUGAAGAUGGAAGGCAUUGUACCUCAAUGAAUGUGACUGGUUUCUAGAAGCUGAGAGUAGCCAGCCCCCAGCUGACAGCCAACAAGGAAACAGGGACCUUGGUUCUCCAACCACAGAAAAUAGAUUCUACCAACAAGAAUGAGCUUGAAAGCAGAUUCUUCCCUCGCACUUAAAGUCUCCUGCAACUAUGGUGAUACACCUUGAUCCGGCAUCUUCCAUUCACCUCUCCAGAUUCAUUCUCCAUGCCUCAGUACUCUGUGCUAUUUCCCAGAAGGCUGAUCCUUAAGGACUACACCUGUGGGAUCCCUUGUCACUGGCAAUGGGACAAUGGGAGGUGCCAGCAGAAAAUCAGAGUGAUGAAGAAUGAGGUCUGGGUAUUUAUCUCCUGGCUUUCUCACUCCAGAUUCAUUCUCUUAGAAGAGUUUUUCCAUGUCAUGGGGAACAUAGCUACAGAGAGUUCCA